GUGUGUUUGUGUGUGUGUGUGUGUGUGUGUGUGAGUGUGUGUCUGUGUGUGUGUGUGUGUGUGUGUGUGUGUGUGUGUGUUUUGUUGUCUGGUUUCCAUGGCAGCAGCACAGUAUGGAGUUCCUUCACUGGAGCUGUGAGGAUGUUUCUCUCUGGAUCGAGUCUCUUGGUUUCUCUCAGUAUCAGGAUCAGACCCGAGUGGAUUCUACAGAACAACAGAUGAAUUAGUGUCGACGUGCUGUAGAGUUUAGAGUACUGGACACGCGACCUUUGACCUCUGCAGACGGUGGAGAAGCAGCUUUCGCUCCGUCAUCAUCUCCGCUUGUGCUUUGUUAGCGUCACGUAAGGAAAACGCAGGCUUCCCUUCAUCAGCGAUAUCUGUUGCCUCCGUGCCAGACUCCGCCGAGAAUCAACCUCCGUCUGAGAGAAACGAUGCUCUGAUUCCCGUCUCACUGAUCUUUUCAGCUGAAAAACAGCUCAGAUUCUCCUGGAAAGCCGUGUUCAGGAGGUUACAGAUCAGCAUAAUUAAAAUAUGAUAAGUAGUGUAAUUAUUUUGGUUACUUUGAUUAUAUUUUUGAUUCGUUUUCUUAAUUUAAAUCUAACUUUGAAUCGUUUUCAAACAUUUAGAGCAGGUGAACCUUACAGUGGUAUUUGAUACAGAUUGUAAUCUAAAAUACAUCCUUAAAGCAAAUCUAAAUGGGAACCCUAACUAUAAACUAAAUACAGUUAAUAUUAUAACCUGCACUGUAACCAGGACACCUUAGAUGAAAGUCUUAUGUUUCUUUGUAACUCUGAGAAUGUGUUCAGGACUCAUUAAAGACCUUUCCUUCUUCAGGAGUGUUUCACUCAGAAUCACAUCACGGGCAGAAAACUGAUUCACGUCAACUGUUUCAAUCUACCACGACUAGGAAUCACCGACUUCCAGCACAUGAAGCUGAUCUCAGCUCAGGUCAGAGGGCUGCUGGGCGUCUCGGAGCGUCUCUGGAAGCAGAGUGUGGCUGAUCCUCUUCAUGAUGACCGGACGCUGUUCCUGCAGAUGAAGAGCCGGAGCGGUCAGCAGACAGAGUCCUUCACUUAUGAGCGGUUCCUCAAGAACAAGAGCCAAGAAGAUUCUCUCAGAAGAGCGGGACUCCUGCAAUAAACAGACAGGAAAUGUGUCUUUCGGUGUCCUUACUCCUUCAGAAUCUACUACACUGCAAAACAUUAUUCUCUUACAUAGUAUAUUUAGAAAUAUCUACAUUUACUGUCAAAGUAAAAUGACUUUAUGAUUU